rnacentral:rRNA from 1 species
GACGGAGGGUGCUAGCGUUGUUCGGAAUGACUGGGCGUAAAGGGUGCGUAGGCGGCUCGUGAAGUCGGGUGUGAAAGCCCGGGGCUCAACCCCGGAACGGCAUCCGAUACUGGCGGGCUUGAGACCGGGAGAGGAGGGUGGAAUACCCAGUGUAGAGGUGAAAUUCGUAGAUAUUGGGUGGAACACCGGUGGCGAAAGCGGCUCUCUGGCCCGGAUCUGACGCUGAGGCGCGAAAGCGUGGGGAGCAAACAGG